rnacentral:rRNA from 1 species
AGUGAACGCUGGCGGUAGGCCUAACACAUGCAAGUCGAACGGCAGCACAGUAAGAGCUUGCUCUUACGGGUGGCGAGUGGCGGACGGGUGAGGAAUACAUCGGAAUCUACUUUUUCGUGGGGGAUAACGUAGGGAAACUUGCGCUAAUACCGCAUACGACCUACGGGUGAAAGCAGGGGAUCUUCGGACCUUGCGCGAUUGAAUGAGCCGAUGUCGGAUUAGCUAGUUGGCGGGGUAAAGGCCCACCAAGGCGACGAUCCGUAGCUGGUCUGAGAGGAUGAUCAGCCACACUGGAACUGAGACACGGUCCAGACUCCUACGGGAGGCAGCAGUGGGGAAUAUUGGACAAUGGGCGCAAGCCUGAUCCAGACAUACCGCGUGGGUGAAGAAGGCCUUCGGGUUGUAAAGCCCUUUUGUUGGGAAAGAAAAGCAGCAGGUUAAUACCCCGCUGUUCUGACGGUACCCAAAGAAUAAGCACCGGCUAACUUCGUG